UUAGAGUGUAGAGGAGGCAGGUAGCCUAGUGGUUAGAGUGUAGAGGAGGCAGGUAGCCUAGUGGUUAGAGUGUAGAGGCAGCGUAGCCUAGUGGUUAGAGUGUAGAGGCAGCAGGUAGCCUAGUGGUUAGAGUGUAGAGGUGGCAGGUAGCCUAGUGGUUAGAGUGUAGAGGAGGCAGGUAGCCUAGUGGUUAGAGUGUAGAGGAGGCAGGUAGCCUAGUGGUUAGAGUGUAGAGGCGGCAGGUAGCCUAGUGGUUAGAGUGUAGAGGAGGCAGGCAGCCUAGUGGUUAGAGUGCAGAGGAGGCAGGUAGCCUAGUGGUUAGAGUGUAGAGGCAGCGUAGCCUAGUAGUUAGAGCGUUGGUCUAGUAACCGAAAGGUUGCAAGUUCAAACCCCCGAGCUGACAAGGUACAAAUCUGUCGUUCUGCCCCUGAACAGGCAGUUAACCCACUGUUCCUAGGCCGUCAUUGAAAUUAAGAAUUUGUUCUUAACUGACUUGCCUGGCUAAAUAAAG
ensembl:lncRNA